rnacentral:siRNA from 1 species
CUUAAUACGAAUGAGCAGGAAGCU